CACUGCUGGGCAGGUCAAUCUGAAAACUCCCUCCAUACUGGUACACUGCUGGACAGAUCAAUCUGAAAACUCCCUCCAUACUGGUACACUGCUGGGCAGAACAAUCUGAAAACUCCCUCCAUCCUGGUACACUGCUGGACAGAUCAAUCUGAAAACUCCCUCCAUGCUGGUACACUGCUGGACAGGUCAAUCUGAAAACUCCCUCCAUGCUGGUACACUGCUGGACAGGUCAAUCUGAAAACUCCCUCCAUGCUGGUACACUGCUGGGCAG
rnacentral:lncRNA from 1 species